rnacentral:RNase_P_RNA from 1 species
GCAGGCAGACGGGCGAUCGCGGCGGAUUCGCCGAGGAAAGUCCGAACUCCACAGGGCAGCGUGCCUCGUAGCUCGAGGGCCCGUAAGGGACGGAAAGUGCCACAGAAAACAUACCGCCGCUAUCAACGGUAAGGGUGAAAAGGUGCGGUAAGAGCGCACCAGCGGUCCGGUAACGGAUCGGCUUGGCAAACCCCACGCGGAGCAAGGCCAAAUAGGGAAACGCGGCGCGUUUUCGCGCGCCAGCGGCGGCCCGUCGUAGUUUCCGGGUAGGCUGCUCGAGCCUUUGGGAAACCUUAGGCCUAGACGAAUGAUCGCUACUCAGCCAAUCUUUGGCUGAGGACAGAAUUCGGCUUACAGUCUGCCUGCCUUG